UACGGGGGGGGCAAGCGUUGUUCGGAAUUACUGGGCGUAAAGGGCGCGUAGGCGGCCCGCUAAGUCGAACGUGAAAUCCCCGAGCUCAACUCGGGAACUGCGUCCGAUACUGGCGGGCUUGAAUCCGGGAGAGGGAUGCGGAAUUCCAGGUGUAGCGGUGAAAUGCGUAGAUAUCUGGAGGAACACCGGUGGCGAAGGCGGCAUCCUGGACCGGUAUUGACGCUGAGGCGCGAAAGCUAGGGGAGCAAACGGG
rnacentral:rRNA from 1 species